UUGACAAGAAAAAAUAAGCUACUGUUGACUAUGAUAAAGGGAGACACAAACUAACUCUAAAAAUCAAUGGAUUUCGCAAAUCUGAUUUGCCUAAACACUAACUUUUAUGUGUCGAAUUUCAGUUAAGAGUGAUUUUUUUGGAUUGAUAGAUUAUGUAGUCUUUGGUAAUUUUUUGAAUUGACCCAACUGAAUCUGGGUUCAUAUUGCUAGCUAUAGAAGGAAGAACGAGACUCGCCG
rnacentral:lncRNA from 1 species